rnacentral:rRNA from 1 species
GACGAACGCUGGCGGCGUGCUUAACACAUGCAAGUCGAACGAGUGGCGAACGGGUGAGUAACACGUGGGUGACCUGCCCUGCACUUCGGGAUAAGCCUGGGCAACUGGGUCUAAUACCGGAUAUUUUGGGAUGGGCCCGCGGCCUAUCAGCUUGUUGGUGGGGUAAUGGCUACCAAGGCGCGACGGGGAGACGGCCUGAGAGGGUGGACGGCCAAAUUGGGACUGAGACACGGCCCAGAAUCCUACGGGAGGCAGCAGUGGGGAAGAUUGCACAAGGGGCGGAAGCCUGAUGCAGCGACGCCGCGUGGGGGAGGACGGCCUUAGGGUUGUAAAGGACUUUUGUUAGGGAGACGGUACCUAAAGAAGAAGCACCGGCUAACUACGUGCCAGCAGCCGCGGUAAUAC